ensembl:lncRNA
AAAGCGGCCGUGUGUUAUAAAGUCUGCUCCAGCGACUUCACUUCUCUCAAAGCCGGGAACUUCUCUGCACAGGAAUCAAAUCAGGAAAAAUUGAAGAAGAUGAAAGACUGAAAAAGCAAGCGGAGGAGAGAGAACAUCUGGAACGUUUGGAACGUGAGAGAAGGAUCCAGGAGGAGCUGAACAGAGAGAGCGAAUCAUCCAGACACAAGCUUUCUCAAGCAACUCAGCGGCUUCGCGAGAAACAGCGCUUCAGAGGUCAGGAACAGCAUCAUGAACGUACACAAGUUCUCCAACAGCAGAUAGAAGACGACGCUGCUGCGAUCGAGAGGGACGA